AGGAAGUAAGACCCCUGAAAGACGAACAGGUAGAUAGGCUAGAAGUGGAAGUGUUGUGAGACAUGGAGCGGACUAGUACUAAUCGGUCGAGGACUUAACCAAG
rnacentral:rRNA from 1 species